rnacentral:rRNA from 1 species
GAUGAACGCUGGCGGCGUGCCUAAUACAUGCAAGUCGAGCGAACGGACGAGAAGCUUGCUUCUCUGAUGUUAGCGGCGGACGGGUGAGUAACACGUGGAUAACCUACCUAUAAGACUGGUAUAACUUCGGGAAACCGGAGCUAAUACCGGAUAAUAUUUUGAACCGCAUGGUUCAAAAGUGAAUGACGGUCUUGCUGUCACUUAUAGAUGGAUCCGCGCUGCAUGAGCUAGUUGGUAAGGUAACGGCUUACCAAGGCAACGAUGCAUAGCCGACCUGAGAGGGUGAUCGGCCACACUGGAACUGAGACACGGUCCAGACUCCUACGGGAGGCAGCAGUAGGGAAUCUUCCGCAAUGGGCGAAAGCCUGACGGAGCAACGCCGCGUGAGUGAUGAAGGUCUUCGGAUCGUAAAACUCUGUUAUUAGGGAAGAACAUAUGUGUAAGUAACUGUGCACAUCUUGACGGUACCUAAUCAGAAAGCCACGGCUAACUACGUG